rnacentral:misc_RNA from 1 species
ACCUCAAGUCUCCCUGGGACCUUAACCCCCCCACAAGCCUCAACAUCCCCAUUAAUAAUUCCUCUGCCAAACCCAGAGAAGAUGAAACGCCGCCUUCUAUGCCUGAGAAUGUUGGCUUCCAUAACUUUGACGAGUCCGUGAUUUUGGCCGCCAAGCUCAGACAGCACCAGAUCAGUGGAGGGCCCUCCCCUGCAGUGGCGGGGGC